GGCAAGCCCGUUUAUUCCAUCUCUUCUUCCUGACACACGAAUUUAGGGUUAGCCGUCGCUGCGAAGGUCUGAUUCUGUGAGCCAUCAAUGGCGGUUCUGAAAAGGUAUGUAGUUCGUCGUUUCGUCUGCAAAUUUCGAGUCGGUGACUGUUCAUAUCAUGUCCGUUUUCAUCCUUCUCAUCCCAACCGUUACAAAUCGAAUUGAUUCAACCCCAUUACCCAAAGCUUUACUCUUCAUGCACAUUAUAAUCACGAUCUCGCAUCCAGUGCAUCUAAUCCUUCAUCUAGGCGGUGAUUCUCACCUAUAAAAAACAUCAGCUCACUGCAGGUUCCAUGUUCUCUGUUAGCGGAUUUGAUGUCAUUCUCUUUCUUCUUCUGUUUGGAGAGGAGAAUCUGAAGAUUCAAAUGAAAGGUGUUAAAGCUUUGGAGACUCCAGGAGCAAGCAAAGACCUCCAUCGGCUCGAGAGGCAUCUCCAAUGGCUGUUAAACUAGGUCGUUUAUUCCUCAAUGCCACAUCAUGACACACUUCCCACAUUAAAGACACAAAAAUGCAGGCUCCAUAGAGAAGAGAGUGGUUCCUCUGCCACAUCUUCCAAGUAUGGUGGUGUUAAGAAAAUUGAAUCCGUCACACAAUCUGAACUUAAUAGCAACGAUCUCAAUUCACCCCUCAGUGAUGAAACGCAGUGUUCGGACCGCACAAACGGGCAUCUGAUUAUGUUCCAGUUAUUGAAGGACGUCCAGCCAGCACAGAAGCAGAGCCUACACAUACUGAUUCAGUCAUAACCUCUACCGAGACUCCCAUUGAUGAUGAAAAGACACCAGUUCAAAGAAAGCUAGCAAACACUGAUAACUCCAACUGUGGAGACUUGGAACUCGCAAAACACAAUCGAGUUCCAUUUUUUUGUUUCAAAGCUCUAUUUUUCCUUCAAUAAUGUUGUAGUCCACAUACUUUAAUUAGCAGCAAGAGGUUGUUAUUUAAUCUUUAUUUGGUUAUUUGUUAUGAGCAUUACUUAAUUUGAAUUAUAAAUAUUUUUAAAUA